GGGUGGCGGGCACGUUUCGGCGCGCCAAUGCGCAUGCGCGGGGGUAGAGCCUUCGCCCUUCGGGGAGUUUGGAGAUGGCGGCAGCCGGCGACGCUUCCCGGGAGCCGGCGGCCUCGGAACCGCCGGCGGAGCUGCCUGCCUCGGUGCGGGCGAGCAUCGAGCGGAAGCGGCAGCGGGCGCUGAUGCUGCGCCAGGCCCGGCUGGCGGCCCGGCCUUACCCGGCGACGGCGGCUGGGGCUACCGGAGGUAUGGCUAAUGUAAAAGCAGCCCCAAAGAUCAUUGACACGGGAGGAGGCUUCAUUCUGGAAGAGGAAGAGGAAGAACAACAUACAAUUGGAAAAGUUGUCCAUCAACCAGGACCUGUUAUGGAAUUUGAUUAUGCAGUAUGUGAAGAGUGUGGUAAAGAAUUUAUGGAUUCUUACCUUAUGAGCCACUUUGAUCUGGCAACUUGUGAUAACUGCAGAGAUGCUGAUGAUAAACACAAGCUCAUAACUAAAACAGAAGCCAAACAAGAAUACCUUCUGAAAGACUGUGAUUUAGAAAAAAGAGAACCAGCUCUUAAAUUUAUUGUGAAGAAGAAUCCUCAUCAUUCACAAUGGGGUGAUAUGAAACUCUACUUAAAAUUACAGAUUGUGAAGAGGUCUCUUGAAGUUUGGGGUAGUCAGGAAGCAUUAGAAGAAGCAAAGGAAGCUCGACAGGAAAACCGAGAGAAAAUGAAACAGAAGAAGUUUGAUAAGAAAGUAAAAGAAUUACGGCGAGCAGUAAGAAGCAGCGUGUGGAGAAGGGAAACAGUUGCUCAUCAACAUGAGUAUGGACCAGAAGAAAACCUAGAGGAUGACAUGUAUCGGAAGACUUGUACUGUGUGUGGCCAUGAGCUGACAUAUGAGAAGAUGUGACUAGUUAAGUGUAAAGUAUUCACAGAUGAAUGAACACUCGUGUAAAUAAUGCUAAAUAGAAAUGUGUAUGUUACAACUUAAGAGCAAGUUUCAGUUAGAGUCCAGCAGGUCUGGUUGUGGGCAAAAUACUGGGUCUGGGAUUGCUUUUCUCUACAAUAGGGAUGGGAGCGAGGGGUGGAAUAGGUUCAAAAGGUAGAUUAGAGCUAAAACUGAGAAAUAAACCAAACCAAACCCUAGAUUGGAAUAGGAGGAAGAGCUUUUAGUAAGGGCAGAAGCAACUGAAGCAGAUUCUUCUCCCAGGAAACAAGGGACAGUGGUAGACCCUGCGCCCUGGAGGCUAGCCAGGUCUUCUAGAUGCUGUCUCCAUGUGAGGGAGUGGGGAGCUGUUGUUGGCCAAGGCCUGACUGGACAGCAGUAAUUGAAUCGUGGCAGUCUGAUCAUGUUUUCUGUAUCCUUACAGUUUACUACCAUAGGCCCUAAGGUCCGUGUCUAGAUAGCCCUUUUCAAAUAUGGAUUAAAAUGGAAAAACAGCCAUAUUGUCUUAUUGAUCAAAAAAGGUACUAAGUUUAUCCUAACUUGUUAACAUUUUAUAGAGCACUUACCGUGAACCAGGUAGGUGUGAUGCGAAAUGGCUUACAGGUAUUCUCAUUUAAUCCUGGGAGGGAGGAGAUCUUGUGUUUACUUAGCACUUUUAAAGGAAGUUAUAACCUACAGCCCGACAUCACCCCAGGCAUGUGGAUCAAGUUUAGCUAGUCAGUUUUGCCCGUCUUGCCAAAAAGAUCACAAGGAUUUGUGCUUGACUACAGGGUCUGUGCAUGACUUUUUUUUUUUUUUUAACCUGUUCAAGUAAAGAUAAACUGGAUAUUUUCAAGUUGUUCUUUGACAUGGCUUUUUUAGUCCAGUUGCUGUAAGUAGGAAGUUUAUAUGUUUUCAUCUUCCUUGUAGAUCAGCUCUCCUGGAGAUUAUGCUUGAAGAAAGGCAGGUCCAAACUAGUCCAACUCAAAUAGACUUGAGACUGUAAUUACUAAUUGUUCUCUAAGAAUUCAACAUAGAAAUAAGUGUUGAUUUUUUUUUUAACGUGCCAUGCUAAUUAUUGAUUUAGUAAAAAUUUAUUCAGAAUGGGUAGCAAGACCUUCCUGGGACCACAGAAGAGCUUCCAGCUUGAUGUCAACAGAAUAACGAGGGGUCUAGGCAGCUGACAACGGUAAUAAAGAGCCGUUGCGCCCCAUGGACCUAGGUUCAAAUUCCACUUUCUAGCUGUGGGCCUUGGGUGGGUUACUCCAUGGGCCUCUUUUUAUCUGCUGGGUGGGCACAAUCAUCUCUCAGAGGAUGGUUGGGAAGAUUAAAUAGGGUGAAUCUGUGGCAUGUGGCACAGACUAGCCACUUGUUCAUGAGCACGUAUUCUCAUCAGGACAGUAUAGUUCUAGAUUUGUCUAGUUUCACGUACGCUUCUAUUCACUCUUUCAUCACUUGAGGAUGAUCCCAGUAUCCAGAGAACACUGACGGCCCAAUGUAUUCUACGCAGGUUGGCAAGUUCUUUCCUCAUUUUCAGGUAUAACUACAGAUUAGUAAAUUAUACAACAAACUACUACUUUCCAGGAAGAGCAAGCAAACUUAUUUUCAUAUGAACCACUGCCUGAAUUAUUCCUGGAAGGGAGAUUAAUUCUGUGAAUAAUUAUUUCUUGUUUUAAAUGGUAUUUAAAAAUUCUAGGAACUCCUAUCUCUUGAGUAGACUAUAUUCUGUAGCCCCUGAAUGCGGGGCAAACAAAAGAGACUGGGUAACAAUAUGAAAAAUACUAAUGCAUCCUAAAUUUAUGUUAAUAAGUUAAAAAUAUCUAUGCUGUACAAAGGCACAGGAAUACUACUUACCAGUUGUGGGGUUGUUGAUAAAUUUUUCCCAAGGUUUAGUGAAGCCCUAAAAUGCUUGCAACGUGCAAUGUCAGAUAAUCCCUUAUGCUUAUUUUAUGUGCACGCUUAUCUCUCUCAGUUAAGCUUUAAUACUGUAUAGGAAACAGGCUCAAGAAUUAGUAAUUACUUGGACCAAGUUCUGUAGAAACAAAACCCAAACCUAUAUAUAAAUCCAAGUACAGUUUUAGCCAAUCUAGCUACUUCUGUUUCCACUUUAGCACGUACCUCACUAGUGGACCUUGGACACAUCUGUCUCCGAGACUAGAGGAGGUGACCAGAUGGCUCUCAGGUCACGGUUCCCAUAGCUGCCACACAAUGGACAGCCCUGGGGGAGACUUCAGAACGCUGGCUGGCUCUGUUUCACCCCCAGAGAUUGUGGUUUAAUUUAGAAUAUAACUGUAAAGAAUUUGGGUAGUGCUACUCUGAAUAACAUUUCUUAAUAAGUAAGGUCUUAAAAUAUUAAGAUACUUGUGGAGAGAGAAUUCCAAAUGAGGGAAGUAGAUGUUCAAUAGGAAACCACUGAUUUUCAAGUAGACUGAGAUCAUAAAUCAUGAAAUACCAAAGUUUAAAAAACAUUUUUAGUUUUAUUUCAGCCAUAUUAGCUUAUCCAUGAGCUGUGAGAAGCUAUGCUACUUGAUAAGUAAAUCCACCAGUUCUAUAUACUACUUUGUAAGCUGGACCUCUAGUGUUCACAUACCUCAAAUCACUUAUCUUUUGUGCCUUAAGGAGGAAAAAAUACCAGAAAAGUUGUAUCUGUCACAUAUAUAAUACAUCCUAUGGUCAUCGUCACAUUGUCAGUUGGGAAUUUUUGCUUUGUACGGGCAAUUAAAGGUAAUCAAUGCUUUAUUCUUCACUGUCCUCCUCCCCCUCCCCCUUUAAUAAGUGAAAGGAUGCUACAAGAAAGCAAGCAUUCAAACCAUCAAAAAAAUAAGACAAAUUAUUUUGAGAUAUUUUUAAAAAAUCUUGACGGGGGAAUAAAAGGACCCUCAGGCCUGUAGGGCACAGAACUGCUGGAACACAGCCAGGAUAUGAGGGUCUAACUCAGCAGUGAAGAGCAGGUUCUCCAGGGUCACCAUGUACUGCUGGAUUAUUUGGUGAUGCUGUGGACACAGAAAAGGGGAUGUUUAGGUCAGGAAAAAGACCACUUGAGCAAUCUUGCAGAACACUUCCCUCAGCAGCCUGCCCACGUUGUGGAAUGAUGGGAAAGGGUAGGAGGAAAAAAGUGGUUAUGCUCGAGAGGAAGAAUGGGCUCCUGAAAAGCCCCACCGUUAAGAAAAUAUAGUUGGAAAUAAAAAAAAGCAGGUAGGAUGUUCAUGGCCAGAACGAGAUUUGAACGUAAGCGUAAUUCAUGCUUCAGAGCAGUGGCGGCCACAGGCGGGGCAGCUGGGUCCCUACGGAGAAGGACAAAGGUAGCCCAGACAGGGACUGGCCCAAGAUUAAAAACCACCCGGGAAAGCGGAUGAAAACUAUGGUUGCUGAAACAUGAGAAAAGAUACUUCGCACUAAUUUCCUUUUUUUGUUUUACUGGUUAGAGCAUUUAAAAUUUUUUUCUUUUACAAAAAGAUAACAGAUGACUGGCUAAUUCUCUAGUAACUACUCUAUAAAAUAAGAAACCCAAACUUCAUUUUGUCUGUUAAAAAUAAAUAGCUCAUCUGUCUCACUGAAAAUCCGACUUGUUCAGGCUAUGUGGAGGGGAAAAGUGCCAGAAAAUGCAAAUCUCUUCUGUGUGUGCCUAUAUGACUUGCACAUACUGAGACCCCUGUAGGCCUAGCGAACAGCAAUUAGGAAUCUGGAUGGUAGAGGAGUCAUUUAAGCCUAAAUACUCUGAUGAGCCACAGUAGGAGCAAAUGGACAUUAAAAGGGCCUUAGAGGUACUACACAACCUCCUGACAAAUCGGACCGUUCUUUAAAAUGCAAAAUCCUUGUGCCUGAGAAUAGUGAUGUUUAUUAUCUAAUCAGUUUCCCACAAACCUGUAAGAAGAUCUGCUGGAGCCUCUCUAUACAGUUCUUAUACCAUGGGGUUAAUACGCUGGUCCCAUCAGUCUCACAUCGUACUAAGUGCUCGGUCAAGAUCAUGAUGAAACGCUGGAAAGGGGGUGCAAAGUUAAAGCAGUGUUACAGGGAGGAUUCUUACACUUCAGAAAAAAAUCACAUUUUCGACCAAGAGACCUCAAAGGCAUUCCUGUUCCACUUGGUCUUUGUGUGUCCCAAGCCAAGAUACCUGGAAUAUGACAAGGAAGAGGUUCUUCUGUUCACUCUGAGCAGAUUCUACUUUUUCUUGCAGUCUCUCUAUUUGCUCCUCCAGAGCCCCAUCUUUCCUGUCACUGCUUCUGUCAUCAUCGUCACUUCGCUGCAGGAUGCACAGGAACAAAAGGAAAAUGCCAUUAGAAUUCCAGCGUACUAAACCCCAUCAAGUGAGGGGAAGGAUGUUCUUGUGUCUGGUCAAAUGCCACUUGCAGACUUGUAUUCUAAGGUGCAAGUACUCCGCCACCCUCCAUGCACACAUACCCCCACCAGUCCUGUGGGCACUUGUCCAGGCCAGGGAAACGUUGCGGCACCCGUCUUGGGUAACAGCGCGUGGGGAUGUCUGCAUUCCCAGCAGAAGUGAGUUACACCUUUUACGAGACAGUCCGUUCAGGGAGGAGAAGUGUGUGUCACAUUUUUCCUCCAUUCAAAAUGAAAACAGCUUUGAGCUCCAUGGAAAAUGUACAGUAGAUUCUUGUUAUUCACCAUCAUUAUGUUUAUGCAUUUGCUGUGAACCCUGAAUUGGUGAACACCGAACCACUGCUUAGGGAAGUACAGGGUUAGAUUCUCAGGAGCCUUUUGGCUAAGAUAACACACUGUUGUUGAGGCCCCAUCUGUGAUGGCCACCUUCUACCCUUUAUGCAAAAUUAUCAGAACCCUCUCUCUGUUUUUACAGAAUUCUGCUUUUAUCUAUAACGUAGCACCUGUUAUGGGGUCUGCCUUAUUCUGUUGGAGGCAACUGGGUAGAUCAUCUAGCUGGUUUUUCCCUAAUAGCACACUAAGGCUAGGUUCUAAAUACUACUGCCCGGUAGACCCUUCUGUGAUGAGGGAAAUGUUAUGUCACUCUGUGCUGCCCAUCACGGUAGCCACUAGCCAUACAGGACUGCUGAGCACUUGAAAUGGGACUGGUGUGACUAAAGAACUGAAUUCUAAAUUGUAUUUCAUUUUAAUUCACUUACAGUUAUAUGUGGCUAGCAAGUUACUGUGUUGGACACCACCUAUCUAGAGAACAGUGUGGCAUGAAGGAAAGUCCCUGGAAUUUGACAGGCCUGGGUCAGAUCCUAAGCUCUGUCACUUACCAACCAUGUAAGCUUGAGCAAGUUACUUAAGUUCUCUGAGCCUCAAUUUGGACAUGUAUAAAAUGAGGAUGACAUCAUUUACCUUGCAGUUAUUUUAGUUUGUGAAUGUGUGUUUAUACACCACAUGUAUGUAUGUAUGUAUCUCUAUAUGGAGACUAGCACUUGAACCUUCUAUAGGUUCAUGUAAGUCAUUAAAUUUGUUUCCACCUA